UGCAGCUGCUUGGCCAAUGCUGCAGUUCCCUCCUGCUGUCCAGCACUCACUGGCACGGGCUGUGCCCGCAGAAGCCCAGGAGGCAGAUUGAGACUCUGCUUCUCCCACCCCCAGCCACCAUCCAUGAAGCAUGCCAGGGCUGCAGCACUGGAAAAGCCAAAACAUGUCAGUAUCAGAAGUAGGAGCCAGAGGACUGCCAAACUGAGGUGCUUGGUCUUUUCCUGACCACUGUGGUUUCAGAGCAUCUGACUAAAUUUAACAGGCAGGACGAGGAGGACACGCCUAUGCUUGCUGGACUGGAAAAUUUGAGGAAAGGGAAAGAAUAGGCUUGUAAGCAUGCUCUACUUAACUGAUUCAACACUUGUAUCAACAAAAUUGAUCCAUU